CAUGCAAGUCGAACGGUGAUGUCAGAGCUUGCUCUGGCGGAUCAGUGGCGAACGGGUGAGUAACACGUGAGUAACCUGCCCCCGACUCUGGGAUAACUGCUAGAAAUGGUAGCUAAUACCGGAUAUGACGAUUGGCCGCAUGGUCUGGUCGUGGAAAGAAUUUCGGUUGGGGAUGGACUCGCGGCCUAUCAGGUUGUUGGUGAGGUAAUGGCUCACCAAGCCUACGACGGGUAGCCGGCCUGAGAGGGUGACCGGCCACACUGGGACUGAGACACGGCCCAGACUCCUACGGGAGGCAGCAGUGGGGAAUAUUGCACAAUGGGCGAAAGCCUGAUGCAGCAACGCCGCGUGAGGGAUGACGGCCUUCGGGUUGUAAACCUCUUUUAGUAGGGAAGAAGCGAAAGUGACGGUACCUGCAGAAAAAGCACCGGCUAACUACGUGCCAGCAGCCGCGGUAAUACGUAGGGUGCAAGCGUUGUCCGGAAUUAUUGGGCGUAAAGAGCUCGUAGGCGGUUUGUCGCGUCUGCUGUGAAAUCCCGAGGCUCAACCUCGGGUCUGCAGUGGGUACGGGCAGACUAGAGUGCGGUAGGGGAGAUUGGAAUUCCUGGUGUAGCGGUGGAAUGCGCAGAUAUCAGGAGGAACACCGAUGGCGAAGGCAGAUCUCUGGGCCGUAACUGACGCUGAGGAGCGAAAGCAUGGGGAGCGAACAGGAUUAGAUACCCUGGUAGUCCAUGCCGUAAACGUUGGGAACUAGAUGUGGGGACCAUUCCACGGUCUCCGUGUCGCAGCUAACGCAUUAAGUUCCCCGCCUGGGGAGUACGGCCGCAAGGCUAAAACUCAAAGGAAUUGACGGGGGCCCGCACAAGCGGCGGAGCAUGCGGAUUAAUUCGAUGCAACGCGAAGAACCUUACCAAGGCUUGACAUAUACCGGAAACAUGCAGAAAUGUGUGCCCCGCAAGGUCGGUAUACAGGUGGUGCAUGGUUGUCGUCAGCUCGUGUCGUGAGAUGUUGGGUUAAGUCCCGCAACGAGCGCAACCCUCGUUCUAUGUUGCCAGCACGUAAUGGUGGGAACUCAUAGGAGACUGCCGGGGUCAACUCGGAGGAAGGUGGGGAUGACGUCAAAUCAUCAUGCCCCUUAUGUCUUGGGCUUCACGCAUGCUACAAUGGCCGGUACAAAGGGCUGCGAUACCGUAAGGUGGAGCGAAUCCCAAAAAGCCGGUCUCAGUUCGGAUUGAGGUCUGCAACUCGACCUCAUGAAGUCGGAGUCGCUAGUAAUCGCAGAUCAGCAACGCUGCGGUGAAUACGUUCCCGGGCCUUGUACACACCGCCCGUCAAGUCAUGAAAGUCGGUAACACCCGAAGCCAGUGGCCUAACCGCAAGGGAGGAGCUGUCGAAGGUGGGAUCGGUGAUUAGGACUAAGUCGUAACAAGGUAGCCGUA
rnacentral:rRNA from 1 species